GUAGAAAUGAGCUGUGCCAUUACUGGUGCCAAGCUGUAUCAGCCUUUGCCUUUCCCUUGGAUAACAUCAGUCGCAUGGAGAAGGGAGGCUGGUAUGCGUGGGUGACUGUUGGUUUUCCAUAAUCAACCUUACCUGGACUUGUGCCUCUGAAGGUAACUUUCUAGGUACAACCCCAUGGUCAUUCAUGACCAAAGGGUGACUUUAUCCACAUAUAUAUGUGUGUGUGUGUGUGUGUUUGUACACCCCCCACCCCACCAGUUAGCAUCCAGUGUUGAUCUGUUUAUGUCCCUCAUAACUUAGCAAUUCAACAAAAAGAGAAUGAUAGAAUAAGUAGCGGGUGCUUAAAAAAUAAAUCGUGGCUAGAUUCGUUUGACUAAAAAAAAAAAGAAAAAAAAAACCCUUGAAGGUGAAAGAGAAAAGAUAUGUUAGGGUGAGGAGAGAUGCGCAGGUGAUGAUUAACCUUUGUUAGGCCUCUCUGGUAGGUGUGAGUGGUGUGAUCAAUGACCAGCCUGAACAUCUGGCAG